rnacentral:tRNA from 1 species
CGGGCAGUAGCUCAGUCGUAGACCUCCCAUUUCCUAUGCGGGAAGGCCUGGGUUCAAUCCCCGGCUGCUUGC